UGGGAUAAGCCUGGGAAACCGGGUCUAAUACUGGAUACGACCUUCCCACGCAUGUGGUGUUGGUGGAAAGCUUUUGUGGUUUUGGAUGGACUCGCGGCCUAUCAGCUUGUUGGUGGGGUAAUGGCCUACCAAGGCGACGACGGGUAGCCGGCCUGAGAGGGUGACCGGCCACACUGGGACUGAGACACGGCCCAGACUCCUACGGGAGGCAGCAGUGGGGAAUAUUGCACAAUGGGCGCAAGCCUGAUGCAGCGACGCCGCGUGAGGGAUGAAGGCCUUCGGGUUGUAAACCUCUUUCAGUAGGGAAGAAGCCGGCCCUUGG
rnacentral:rRNA from 1 species